rnacentral:rRNA from 1 species
AUUGAACGCUGGCGGCAUGCCUUACACAUGCAAGUCGAACGGCAGCACGGGUGGUUGCACCUGGUGGCGAGUGGCGAACGGGUGAGUAAUACAUCGGAACAUGUCCCGUAGUGGGGGGUAGCCCGGCGAAAGCCGGAUUAAUACUGCAUACGAUUUUCGGAUGAAAGCGGGGGACCUUCGGGCCUCCGGUCAUAGGGUUGGCCGAUGGCUGAUUAGCUAGUUGGUGGGGUAAAGGCCUACCAAGGCAACGAUCAGUAGCCGAUCUGAGAGGACGACCAGCCACACUGGAACUGAGACACGGCCCAGACUCCUACGGGAGGCAGCAGUGGGGAAUUUUGGACAAUGGGCGAAAGCCUGAUCCAGCAAUGCCGCGUGUGUGAAGAAGGCCUUCGGGUUGUAAAGCACUUUUGUCCGGAAAGAAAACCUUGGCCCUAAUACGGUCGGGGGAUGACGGUACCGGAUGAAUAAGCACCGGCUAACUACGUG